rnacentral:rRNA from 1 species
AUUGGUCAGUGACUGGAGUUCAGACGUGUGCUCUUCCGAUCUCAUGGAAUUGUCACGAAGCCGAUCGGAAACUUUGAGGGCUUACCUGAGAAGUGGAAGAUCCGGCGCUCGCAAUGAGACACUGGUAGAGGAUCCAAGUACUAUGGCGCGAGAGGUGAAAUUCAGUGACCGCCAUAUGACUAUCUAAUGCGAAAGCAGUUGUGAUCCAGAACGUGUCUGUCAAUCAGGGACGAAAGUUAAGGGAUCGAAGAUGAUUAGAUACCGUCGUAGUCUUAACCGUAAACGAUACCAACACGAGAUUGGUAGUGAGACUUUUAGAUCCUAUCAGAAUCCAAGGGAAACCGUUAAGUUUUUGGGUUCUGGGGGGAGUAUGGUCGCAAGGCUGAAACUUAAAGGAAUUGACGGAAAGGCACCACCAGGAGUGGAGUAUGCGGCUUAAUUCGACUCAACGCGGGGAAACUCACCAAGUUAGGAUGUGAAUAUGAUUGACAGAUUAAGGUUCUUUCUUGAUUUUACAGAAGGUGGUGCAUGGUCGUUCUUAGUUCGUGGAGUGAUUCGUCUUGUUAAUUCAGUUAACGAGCGAGACCUUAACUUGCUAAUUAAGGUACAGGGACUUCUUCGGUUGUCCGUCGUUUCGUUGAGGAAGUGUAUACUUUCUCAGGAAAUCUGUACUGUCGCUGGUUCGCCAGUGAUGCUUCUUAGAGGUACAGCACCCGUCCAGGGUGAGGAAGUUUAAGGCAAUAACAGAUCUGUGAUGCCCUUAGAUAUCUUGGGCUGCACGCGUACUACAAUAUUAAUAGCAACAAGUAACGUAGAGUCAUUCUUCGGAAUGCAACCCUGGUCCGAAAGGAUUGGGAAAUCUUAUCAAAGAUUAAUGUGACAGGGAUCGAGGUUUGUAAAUCCUCGUGAACGAGGAAUUCCUAGUAAGCAUGAUUCAUCAUGUCGUAUUGGCUUCGUCCCUGCCUUUUGUACACACCGCCCGUCGCUCGUACCGACUGAAUAGAGGUAUGAAUUUGAUGGACCAGCGUGGCGUUAAGCCAUGCGAGAAAAUCAACUGAAUUUCUCUAUUUGUAGGAACGAGAAGUCGUAACAAGGUCUUCGUAGGUGAACCUGCGGAGG